AAGUCGUAACAAGGUUUCCGGUGAACCUGCGGAAGGAUCAUUAACACGUAUCCAAACGUUAAAACCCCCCGUGAACCUUCAUCCUGCUCUUGUAACCCGCGUAGUUCGCAAUCUUCCCCAUGCCCCCUAAUAACCCCCAGUUUAAUGUGAAGCUCAAUGUAAUACAUUGGGUAAAAAAACCGACCAACUGUUAACAAUGGAUAUCUUGGUUCUC
rnacentral:misc_RNA from 1 species